CGGUACCCUGACCGCGCGAAGGUAGCGUAAUCACUUGUUCUUUAAAUAGGGACCUGUAUCAACGGCAUCACGAGGGCUAGACUGUCUCAUCUGUUUAAUCAGUGAACCUGAUCUCUUCGUGAAAAAGCGAAGAUUAAAAUAUAAGACAAGAAGACCCCAUGGAGCUUUAAACCCAACGAUACCUUCGUUUAUAAAAGCCUAAAAAAACAGGAAGCCUGUCGGCCCGUUUUAGGAUGGGGCAUCCGAGGAGUAUAGCCUAGCCUCCCCGACGUUAAAUUAUCUAAGACAUACAAGUCUAUGAAACAGAAAACUGACGUAAUGUGAUCCGCAAUCGAUCAACGAACCAAGUUACCCUGGGGAUAACAGCGCCAUCCACUUUGAGAGUUCCUAUCGACAAGUGGGUUUACGACCUCGAUGUUGGAUCAGGGUAUCCCAGUGGUGCAGCCGCUACUAAAGGUUCGUUUGUUCAACGAUUAAAACCCUACGUGAUCUGAGU
rnacentral:rRNA from 1 species